AGCAGCCGCGGUAAUUCCAGCUCCAAUAGCGUAUAUUAGUGUUGUUGCGGUUAAAAAGCUCGUAGUUGAAUUUCGGGAUUGGGAUAUAUCGGUCAUGUCUUUAGGGGUAUGAAUCGGUGUGUGGCUAAUUCUCACCUUCUGGUGAAUUGGGAUGCUCUUGGGUAUUUCAAUGAACUAGGACUUUUACUUUGAAAAAAUUAGAGUGUUUAAAGUGGGCAUUUUUGCUUGAAUACAUUAGCAUGGAAUAAUAAAAUAGGACGAUGGUUCUAUUUUGUUGGUUUUAGGACCACGUAAUGAUUAAUAGGGAUAGUUGGGGGCAUUAGUAUUCAAUUGUCAGAGGUGAAAUUCUUGGAUUUAUUGAGGACUAACUACUGCGAAAGCAUUUGCCAAGGAUGUUUUCAUUAAUCAAGAACGAAAGUUAGGGGACCAAAGACGAUUUAUGUACGUCGUAGUCUUAACCAUAAACUAUGCCGACUAGGAAUCAGACAAAGUUAAUUUUUUAACGACUUGUUUGGUACCUUACG
rnacentral:rRNA from 1 species